UGGCCAGGAGAACCGGAACAGCGUGGCUGAACUGGCCAGUCAGCUCUAUCGCCAGGAGAGCUGGGGACAAGAAAGAAGGCCAAGGAGAGGUGGACAGGGCUCCCUGAUGAGGUCCACUCCAACAAAGGCUCGGGCUCUGAAUGCACAGAGGCAUUAUGGGAUUGACAGCUCCAUUGCCUGCUAUCCAGUAAGGAGGAUCCACCGAUGGCAGGCGAGGUAGCAGCAGCUCACGGCUCCACACAGCAGCCUGUUUCCAGACAGAAAGCCAACUGAAUCCACAAUGAGAGACGAGAGGCUUAUUUUAACCCGGGCAGCAAUAGACUAUUGGAAGUCAUUAGACUUGGGGGAAGUCGUGAAAAGGGGGGAGGAGGAGGAGGAGGAGGCCAGGAAAUGAUUGAAUGAAUAAAAAAAACUAAAUGCCAAGUAGAUAGGAAGGAAAACACAUCAGAACUGGUCAAAGGAUUUUCAUUGUGACUGAUAUGAAUAUAAAUAUCAAAUGUCAGUUCUUAUUUGUAAGACGGAAACAAAUGGAUAAAUAAACUUACCCCAGGAAAGCAAACAGCAGGAUCUCCAGUGGGUAGAAAGGUAAAGAAGUGGGGAAAUCAGUUUUGAACAACGCCUGAAGAGUCUCUGAGGACACAACACAAACAUCAGUUAUCCCUCCUAUUUCUCCCGCAGACGUUCAGAAUCUAGUCUCCUUCAAUUUAUUGCACAUAUUUUACUGAAAUUUACAAUCUGUUUAAGUGUUUCUGCUAAUUUUGCCAAAGCUGAUGUUUCCUGUUAAUGUCGUGACAAGACAUUAAAAAAAUCACUGUAAAUGUAAAGUCCUUUUUUACUUUAUUGGGACUAGAGAAUCUUAAUGAGGCUCCAACACUGUGAUUAGUGAAUAUUAAAACAGUAUGAAACUGUUUACAGAAUGACUCACAAUAAACAAUAAAGAUAUUAAACAUUGAGCACAAACACAAUCAUUUCUGUUUUUGAAAUGUAAAAUUGUUAUUGCCGUGUAAAUUG